rnacentral:ncRNA from 1 species
UUAAACGCGAUGAAGGGGAGUAGUAAGUGGAAGUCGAGGUUAAGAGAGCCGGUGGUAGGGUGUAAACCGGUCCAGGCUUCAACUGAAUCCACCUCGGAAGCAGGCUGCGUCGAGCAGUUCCGGUAGAGCGCCGUUAUCGCUUGUUGAAUGAGUGGGCUACGGUCUCGUAGUCAAGUAGGGUGGCAACGCGGGAAACACCUCUCGUCCCUGGG